GCCGGAGUGGCGGAAUCGGCAGACGCGAAGGAUUCAAAAUCCUUUCCUGAUUACCAGGGUGUGGGUUCAAGUCCCACCUCCGGCA
rnacentral:tRNA from 1 species